rnacentral:rRNA from 1 species
UGUGAAUUGCAGAAUUCCGCGAAUCAUCGAGUCUUUGAACGCAAGUUGCGCCCGAGGCUUUGACCGAGGGCAUUCCUGCCAGAGCGUCAC